UGGGGAUAUAGCUCAGUUGAUAGAGUGUGUGCCUUACAUGCACAAGGCCCUGGGUUCAAUCCCCAGCAUCACAU